rnacentral:lncRNA from 1 species
GGUGGCUAUGGUGGUGACCGUGAAGCUUUCUAAGGAGAGCGCAGACUAUCAAAUUUAAAAUAAUGCGCUUUUAGGACAGUGUCUUGAUUAUGUGGAACCUAUGUCACGUCUGUCUGUUAUCUGCGAUAGUUGAACUCAAUAGGAGCAGAGAUGUGGUUCUAGUAUUUUUGUUUUUGGUUCGUUUCUUGAUGGUGCAAGAGUUUAAGUCAUGCUGCUUCGAGGCUUGGAUGAGUCUCAAUGGAAGUUCAUGCAUUUUGCCGUAUAUUGCACUGUGUACUUGUGGUGAGUCUCUGAGUUAAGUCGUGUAUGUUAGUCUGAUUAUCAUAAAUUCUCCAAGUAUUACAU